UAAAGAUUCAUCGCUGAUAGAUAGGCAUGCGUUCCAUUAGGCAGUUGGCGGGGUAACGGCCCACCAAACCGACGAUGGAUAGGGGUUCUGAGAGGAAGGUCCCCCACAUUGGUACUGAGACACGGACCAAACUCCUACGGGAGGCAGCAGUGAGGAAUAUUGGUCAAUGGGCGUAAGCCUGAACCAGCCAAGUCGCGUGAGGGAUGAAGGUUCUAUGGAUCGUAAACCUCUUUUAUAAGGGAAUAAAGUGCGGGACGUGUCCCGUUUUGUAUGUACCUUAUGAAUAAGGAUCGGCUAACUCCGUGCCAGCAGCCGCGGUAAUACGGAGGAUCCGAGCGUUAUCCGGAUUUAUUGGGUUUAAAGGGUGCGUAGGCGGCCUUUUAAGUCAGCGGUGAAAAUCUGUGGCUCAACCAUAGAAUUGCCGUUGAAACUGGGAGGCUUGAGUAUGUUUGAGGCAGGCGGAAUGCGUGGUGUAGCGGUGAAAUGCUUAGAUAUCACGCAGAACCCCGAUUGCGAAGGCAGCCUGCCAAGCCAUGACUGACGCUGAUGCACGAAAGCGUGGGGAUCAAACAGGAUUAGAUACCCUGGUAGUCCACGCAGUA
rnacentral:rRNA from 1 species